CACGUAGGGCGCGAGCGUUGUCCGGAAUUAUUGGGCGUAAAGAGCUCGUAGGCGGCCUGUUGCGUCCGCUGUGAAAGCCCGGGGCUUAACCCCCGGGUCGGCAGUGGAUACGGGCAGGCUAGAGGUAGGUAGGGGAGAAUGGAAUUCCCGGUGUAGCGGUGAAAUGCGCAGAUAUCGGGAGGAACACCGGUGGCGAAGGCGGUUCUCUGGGCUGAGAUUGACGCUCAGGCACGAAAGCGUGGGGAGCAAACAGGG
rnacentral:rRNA from 1 species